rnacentral:tRNA from 1 species
CCUUCGAUAGCUCAGUUGGUAGAGCGGAGGACUGUAGCGGAAGCACUGUGGCAAUCCUUAGGUCGCUGGUUCGAUUCCGGCUCGAAGGA